GCAUUCAGUAGUGCAACGGUUCAGCACGCGCUCCGGAUAGGGUGAGAUCUGGGUUCGAAUCCCAGCUGAAGCA